rnacentral:rRNA from 1 species
AUGAAGGAGAUAACUCAUGGUGCCUGCAACUAUCCCCUAAAACCCGUUCGCAUCGAGGAGCUUAGGAAUAUCUGGCAGCAUGUUGUUUGGUCCGUUGAACUACAUGGAAAAUUUAUCUCUGCUGUCAACCAUCUUGGAAUUGACAAUAAGAACUUACCAGUACCUUCCUUCUCUGUAGCUACUUUUUUCUGGAGUAAUUUUGUUGCUCACUAUUCUUUCAUGUUUAUGCAGAAGGUGUGCCGAAAAGGAUACUUGAGCUCACGAAUGCUGAGAAACUCAUUAGGAAAAAUGUUGCAAGUCGUCUAUAGGAUCACUUUAUAUCAUGUUGAACCACCUUGGAAUUCGUAG